UACAUGCAAGUCGAACGCACUCUCGUUUAGAUUGAAGGAGCUUGCUCCUGAUUGAUAACAUUUGAGUGAGUGGCGGACGGGUGAGUAACACGUGGGUAACCUGCCCUAAAGUGGGGAUAACAUUUGGAAACAGAUGCUAAUACCGCAUAAAACCUAACACCGCAUGGUGUAGGUUGAAAGAUGGUUUCGGCUAUCACUUUAGGAUGGACCCGCGGUGCAUUAGUUAGUUGGUGAGGUAAAGGCUCACCAAGACCGUGAUGCAUAGCCGACCUGAGAGGGUAAUCGGCCACACUGGGACUGAGACACGGCCCAGACUCCUACGGGAGGCAGCAGUAGGGAAUCUUCCACAAUGGACGAAAGUCUGAUGGAGCAACGCCGCGUGAGUGAAGAAGGUUUUCGGAUCGUAAAACUCUGUUGUUGGAGAAGAAUGUAUCUGAUAGUAACUGAUCAGGUAGUGACGGUAUCCAACCAGAAAGCCACGGCUAACUACGUG
rnacentral:rRNA from 1 species